UUGACCAGGCUUGGGGUUUCUUUGCCAAUACAGUUUCCUCAGGACUUAGAUUUGCAGUCUAUUUGCUUCCCUUUGGAGAACACCCUCAAAGGGGAAGGUUGUUCAAGUUCCGGGGGGUCAAGUGGUAAAUAUCUUCACUUGCUCAGACUGCCUCUCCAUGAGAAGCCUUCUGUUGCCAUUUUUCCCCUUCAAAAAGAGUCCUUGGAUAACAAAGGUUCAACUUGAACUAUGACUUAUAUCAAUGAUGGGGUUACUUUGUUUCCUGGGGUAUUAGAUCCCGGUACAAUUAGUUAAAUGUCUCCUCCCCUCCCCACCUCUAAAAUAAGAACUGAAAGCAGAGACGAAGUCAGAGUAGAAAAUAAAUGACAUGUUUCUUAUGAAAGCUUACUAACAAUUAGGAAAAAAUUUUUUUCUUUUUUUUGAGACGGAGUCUCGCUGUCACCCAAGCUGGAGUGCAGUGGCACCAUCUCGGCUCACUUCAACCUCCGCCUCCCAGGUUCAAGCGAUUCUCCUGCCUCAGCCUCCCGAGCAGCUGGGACUACAGGCAUACACCACCACACCCAGCUAAUUUUGUAUUUUUAGUAGAGAAGGCGUUUCACCAUAUGAGCUAUGCUGGUCUCGAACUCCUGACCUUGUGAUCCGCCUGCCUCGGCCUCCCAAAGUGCUGGGAUUACAGGCAUGAGCCACCACGCCCAGCCAACAAUUAGGAAAUUUGACCCACUCCCGAACUUGAACAGUACUGUACUGACUCAGAGCUCUAGCAAAUAUACAAAUUAAGAGGAAUAGACUGCAACACAGUUACAUAAUUUACUUAAAACUCUCUCAGUGGCUUCUCGUUAGUUUAGAACAAAAUCCCAUAUCGUUCUUCCUGACCUAUCAGACCCUACAUGUUCUAGCCCUGGCCUUUCUAUCCAGAUCCUGUUUAAUACCCUCUAACCCCAGUUCUUGGCUUUCUUUCUGAUUCCUCCUUCCUUAGGUCCUUGUCAUGUUGUUCCUUCUGCCUGGAAGGGUCCCCUCCGUGUCCAGGCAGCCCUAGGCCCCAUCUAACACUAACUUCUGAUCUCAGAGAAAUCAUCUGCUGCUUUAGGGAAGCCUUCCCUGAUCCCAGGUUUGGUACCCUGGUAUAUACUCCCAUAGCAACCUGUCUGUUGUAUCACUCAUUAUACCUGUUAUUUCUGUUAGGCUGUAAGUUCCAUGAGUGUGGGCACCUCAGUCAUGUUCAACAUGGUCUCCUCUGUGCCUAGAACUGUUCCUGGCAGAGCAUGGGCACUCAAUAAAUGUAUAUAGAACAAACUGAAUUAAAGAAUGAAUGAAUGUUAGCUUUGCUUGUCCUUAUAUUAAAUGUGCCCAUAAUCAUGUAGAUUAUUUUAAAAGAAUGUUUUAAGAAAUAAUUUUAAGUUGCAAAGAUAGUAGAGGGUUCUUGUAAAGCCUUCUUCCAGUUUCCUCUGUUAACAUCUGACAUAACCAUAAUACGUUUAUCAAAACUGAGAAAUUAACAUUGACACAUUACUAGUAAGUAAACUACAGACUUUGUUCAGAUUUCACCAGUUUUGCCAUUAAUGUCUUAUUUUCUGUACAGUGUCCAAUCCAGAGUACUAUGUUGUGUUUAAUUAUUCUGUCUUCUUAGUCUCUUUCUAUUUAUAAUUUUUCCCCUUU
rnacentral:lncRNA from 1 species